ensembl:lncRNA
CUCCGCCGCGCAGCCAAUCCCGGCCUCUAGCCGCUUAAAGGGGCGAUGUCCGGUCAAGGUGCUCGCGUGGGGUCCACUGGCGUCGGAUGGCCCCUCGCCAGGGAAGCAGUCUUUGUCUCCCGAGGGACGUGUUUUUGGCCUGCUGCGGCCCGGGCGUCCCUGCUCUGCCGAAUCCGGGAGGCCGCUGCCCGGCUCUGGGCACUCCUUCCCCUGAAUCUUCCUCUGAAUAGUGCAGGCCGCCCGGCCUCGGCCGCGGUUCCUGCCCGAACCAAAGGCGGCGCCAUGCCUCGCACGGGGUUUCCGUCGUUUGCAUCCCUGGGGAGGGUUUUCUCUUCCUCUGUCGGCGGGCCGCGUGGGUGGGCCGAGGGCACCGCGGGGAGGCGAGCGGACCCUCUGCGGGCCGGCCUGGGGAGGCGGGGGGCGCGUCUCCUGCAGGACCCGCGCUCACCACGAGGCCCGCGGCCCAAGACGUUGGAAGGACAGCUCGGGGCAUCAAGGGUCUGCGCAAGACAAGAAAGGACAGAGCGAGGCAUCGGAGGACAGCGUGGGCAGAGUGGCACAGUGUGAGACAGCGAGGGUCAGGAGGCCACAUUCGUGAGGGUGCCCGGCCAUCUCAUGACCGCACUUCUGCACAUGGAGGCCGGGCCUGGUUGGCAGUUGACUCGGAUAGGGCCGCCCACGGGCUUCCAGAAGGAUAAAUUCUACCAAGUAAAGAAAAUGUUGAAUCAAAGAGACGGAUCAUCUUUCAAAACUUUUUCAGUUGCUAAAUGGCAACCAGAUUGUUGGGACAGCUAGUAGAAGUACAGUGUUCAGUUAAUGAUAUGCUCUUCAACUUUGGAGUUUUGGGUUAAUUUCAGAUUUUUUUCUUGUUUCUUUGUUUUUGAGGGUUGCUUUAGUAGAUAAAAUUUUUGCAUAGC